rnacentral:rRNA from 1 species
GUGCCAGCCGCCGCGGUAAUACGUAGGGUGCGAGCGUUAAUCGGAAUUACUGGGCGUAAAGCGUGCGCAGGCGGUUCUGUAAGUCAGAUGUGAAAUCCCCGGGCUCAACCUGGGAACUGCGUUUGAAACUACAGGACUAGAGUAUGGCAGAGGGGGGUAGAAUUCCACGUGUAGCAGUGAAAUGCGUAGAGAUGUGGAGGAAUACCAAUGGCGAAGGCAGCCCCCUGGGUCAAUACUGACGCUCAUGCACGAAAGCGUGGGGAGCAAACAGGAUUAGAUACCCCAGUAGUCC